UCAAAAAUUAUAUUCAGACUAAGAAGUCUAAUAAAUUUAAAAUAAAAAAAUAUUUAACAGAGUGUUUUUGUGCCGGCCCCCCGCUCCGCGCCGGAAAAACCAAACUACAUAAGUUGCAGAUACCGAAGGAGAUGGGCAUAGAAUAGCCCCCAAGCCCCACCCAGUUUUCCUUGGAAAAACAGCCGUGCGAAGGUAGAGACGAGAAACCGGUAACAGGACAGUCAUGGGCACAAAGGCUUAAAGCACUUAUCAGUUCCUUAAAUGCUCUCCAACCCCCAGCCCUGGUGAAACCGAGUGGGGAAAAUGGGGGGAAAAGGAAAUGCAGAGUGUGGAAAGUGUUCUGCAAUUACGUACCUCAUUAUUGUAGUUCAACCCCCAAGAAGUUGUGAAUUUUUUAUUCAAAUCUGAAUGUGUAUUCUUCUAAGAAGGGGAAAUAAA